rnacentral:lncRNA from 1 species
AGUGGAUGAGAAGUACAACUUUCCUCUCUGGGUCUCACUGGUAGAUUGCUGUAGAAAGUGAAGCACUGAUGCCCAUCAUCUCCUAGUCGGGGUAUUAAGGAUUCACCUUGAACUAACGUCUGUGCCGAUCUUCCUCUAUGUUAUAUGUGGGUUGCCACCACAGCAUGGCUGAUGAGUGGCAUAGGUCUGCACUUGGCAUCAAAACCCAUGAACCUGGGCUGCAGAAGUGGAAUGCACGGAAUUUAACCACUAUGCCACCGGGCUGGCCCUGAGAAUUCCGUUUCUUCAUCUUUAAAACAGGGUGAUCUUUUACUCUGUGUAGAUCUAUUUUAGAUGUUAUUGAAAUAGGAUAACUAAGAGACUGGAAACAUGAUAGGCUCUCAAUAAAUGCUAUUGCCCUUCCCCUGUUGUUGUUUUUUAAAACUUUUAUUUAUUUAUUCAUUUAUUUAUUUAUAAUGGACUUUAUUUUUUAGAGCAGUUUUAAGUUCACAGAAAAAUUGAGAGGAAGGUACAGAGAUUCUUUUGUUGUUUAAAGAGAUUUGAGGUUGCUCAUAUUUCUAUUAAAAGUCCAUUGCUAAACUUUCAUCUAUGUAUUUGGAUGAAAACUAUUAAAUGUUUCAAACCAUUCAAAUCACCUAUUA